rnacentral:rRNA from 1 species
GACGAACCGUCCAAACGUUAUUCGGAAUCACUGGGCUUAAAGGGUGCGUAGGCGGGUCAGCAAGUCUGUGGUGAAAUCCUCCAGCUUAACUGGAGAACUGCCAUGGAUACUGUUGAUCUCGAGGAAGGUAGGGGCAUCUGGAACUGGUGGUGGAGCGGUGAAAUGCGUUGAUAUCAUCAGGAACUCCGGUGGCGAAGGCGAGAUGCUGGACCUUUUCUGACGCUGAGGCACGAAAGCUAGGGGAGCGAACGGG